ACCCCUGUGACAUACCAAUUGUUGCCUCGGCGGAUCAGCCCGCUCCCGGUAACCCUUCAAAGCCCGCCAGAGGACCCCNAAACUCUGUUUCUAUAUCCCCUCUUCAGAGUAAAACCAUAAAUAAAUCAAAACUUUCAACAACGGAUCUCUUGGUUCUGGCAUCGAUGAAGAACGCAGCAAAAUGCGAUAAGUAAUGUGAAUUGCAGAAUUCAGUGAAUCAUCGAAUCUUUGAACGCACAUUGCGCCCGCCAGUAUUCUGGCGGGCAUGCCUGUUCGAGCGUCAUUUCAACCCUCAAGCCCCCGGGUUUGGUGUUGGGGAUCGGCGAGCCCUUGCGGCAAGCCGGCCCCGAAAUCUAGUGGCGGUCUCGCUGCAGCUUCCAUUGCGUAGUAGUAAAACCCUCGCAACUGGUACGCGGCGCGGCCAAGCCGUUAAACCCCCAACUUCUGAAUGUUGACCUCGGAUCAGGUAGGAAUACCCGCUGAACUUAAGCAUAUCAA
rnacentral:rRNA from 1 species